UACGUAGGCAGCAAGCGUUGUUCGGAAUCACUGGGCUUAAAGGGUGCGUAGGCGGCCAUUUAAGUAGGGUGUGAAAGCCCCCGGCUCAACCGGGGAACUGCGCCCUAAACUGGAUGGCUCGAGUGAGAUAGAGGUGUGUGGAACUUCCGGUGGAGCGGUGAAAUGUGUUGAUAUCGGAAGGAACGCCGGUGGCGAAAGCGACACACUGGGUCUCAACUGACGCUGAGGCACGAAAGCCAGGGGAGCGAACGGG
rnacentral:rRNA from 1 species